rnacentral:rRNA from 1 species
ACGCUCGACACCUACGGGAAGGCAGCAGUAGGGAAUCUUCCACAAUGGGCGCAAGCCUGAUGGAGCAACACCGCGUGAGUGAAGAAGGGUUUCGGCUCGUAAAGCUCUGUUGUUGGAGAAGAACGUGCGUGAGAGUAACUGUUCACGCAGUGACGGUAUCCAACCAGAAAGUCACGGCUAACUACGUACCAGCAGCCGCGGUAAUCUGAGCGGGCUGGCAAGGC